rnacentral:rRNA from 1 species
CGGCGUCGAGCGGCGGACGGGUGAGUAAUGCCUGGGAAAUUGCCCUGAUGUGGGGGAUAACCAUUGGAAACGAUGGCUAAUACCGCAUAAUAGCUUCGGCUCAAAGAGGGGGACCUUCGGGCCUCUCGCGUCAGGAUAUGCCCAGGUGGGAUUAGCUAGUUGGUGAGGUAAGGGCUCACCAAGGCGACGAUCCCUAGCUGGUCUGAGAGGAUGAUCAGCCACACUGGAACUGAGACACGGUCCAGACUCCUACGGGAGGCAGCAGUGGGGAAUAUUGCACAAUGGGCGCAAGCCUGAUGCAGCCAUGCCGCGUGUAUGAAGAAGGCCUUCGGGUUGUAAAGUACUUUCAGCAGUGAGGAAGGCGGGUACGUUAAUAGCGUGUUCGUUUGACGUUAGCUGCAGAAGAAGCACCGGCUAACUCCGUGCCAGCAGCCGCGGUAAUACGGAGGGUGCGAGCGUUAAUCGGAAUUACUGGGCGUAAAGCGCAUGCAGGUGGUUUGUUAAGUCAGAUGUGAAAGCCCGGGGCUCAACCUCGGAAUUGCAUUUGAAACUGGCAGACUAGAGUACUGUAGAGGGGGGUAGAAUUUCAGGUGUAGCGGUGAAAUGCGUAGAGAUCUGAAGGAAUACCGGUGGCGAAGGCGGCCCCCUGGACAGAUACUGACACUCAGAUGCGAAAGCGUGGGGAGCAAACAGGAUUAGAUACCCUGGUAGUCCACGCCGUAAACGAUGUCUACUUGGAGGUUGUGGCCUUGAGCCGUGGCUUUCGGAGCUAACGCGUUAAGUAGACCGCCUGGGGAGUACGGUCGCAAGAUUAAAACUCAAAUGAAUUGACGGGGGCCCGCACAAGCGGUGGAGCAUGUGGUUUAAUUCGAUGCAACGCGAAGAACCUUACCUACUCUUGACAUCCAGAGAAGCCAGCAGAGAUGCAGGUGUGCCUUCGGGAACUCUGAGACAGGUGCUGCAUGGCUGUCGUCACCUCGUGUUGUGAAAUGUUGGGUUAAGUCCC